UACGUAAAAGACUAGUGUUAUUCAUCUUUAAUAGGUUUAAAGGGUACCUAGACGGUAUUAUUAGCCCAAAAUAGGGUACUAUUUUACUAGAGUUUUAUAUGAGAAGGAAGUAUUUAUGGAGGAAAGAUAAAGUAUUAUGAUACCUUAAAGACUGGCAUGGCGAAAGCAACCUUCAUCUAAUAACUGACGUUGAGGGACGAAGGCCGUGGGGAGCAAACAGG
rnacentral:rRNA from 1 species